CAGCACAUUAUCCCCACGCCUCUGCUCCUGCCGCCGCGAGUCGCGAGUUGCGAGCGCGGUGCUUCUCUCCCCGUCGCGAGCGGGGUGCUUCUCUCCCAGUCGCGAGUCGCGAGCGCGGUGCCGGGCGCUGCAAGACAUCCGGCUGACACCCAGCCCCUUCUCCAUGGCGCGCUACACGUAGAAGUGGGUCGUCAUCGACACGCUGCGUCGUCACCACGCGUACUGCCAACGAACGGGGCGCCAUGGCUCGAAUCCGGCGGCCUCCCUCCGUCUCCCCUCAGAUCUCGCAGAUCCGGCGUAGGUGCGGUGAACCGCGGGAUUGUGCCAUCGCCCGCUGCCCAGAAGAGAGAUAGGACUCCGAUUUUCAUUGACUUCGUCAGCGGCAAAUCAUAUCUAUUGCUCCUUCUCCUCCUGGUGCUGGACAACUUGAAAGACUAUGUUGUAUGAGCUGUCGUCAACGCAGUUGAUCAUCUGGGUACUGUUGCCUACAAAUUGACAGAUCUUUUCGAACAGCAAGCUUCUGAGGUGUCAACUUAUGAACUGAAAGUUGCACGCCUGAACCAGCAAAUCUUGUCAUAUGCCAAGUCUACACAGACAAAGAAGGCAUCAGGCAGUAGCAAAUGAUGGCAGCAAACAUAAAACACCACAAGCACUAUAUCCUACCACGUCAGAACGAGCUAGAGAUAGUGUGGUGCAGCAAGAAGAUCGUAGUGCUCACCGGCUCUUUUCGAAAGAUUUUAUUAGCAAAUGAUGAGUUAGUGUUGUACAAGCCAAUAAUAAUUCGUGUGAACAUUUGUACAAAAACAAUUGUUGAUGUAUCAAUAAAAAUGAUGAGCAAUGUCUUGUAGCAAUGU